UGACGGUGAUCUACUCCAAGAGGGGUGGCCGGUGGGAACACGACGGUGGGCAGCCACUCAUCAAGGGCGUCGCCGGCGCCGGCGUCGGCUACCUCUCGCACGCCAUGAACCUCUAUCUCAGAUGUAAGAACACCAUUGCCAUCUGCCAUACACAUUUGGGUCGCACAAGUGGCCAUCAGGUUUAGUUAACAAGUAACUACUAAGAAUACGAUGAAAUAGUGCACUGAGAUUGACUUUACCACAGAGCUAGGCAUCACCACUGGGUGUGCAAGAAAGAAGGCAUGGUGAUGAGGAUGUCCACGCACGUGCACCAACCGCGCCAACUAACUGGGAAUUCUACUAGAAUAAAGCUACAACACUAAGGCCACGGUUGGAGAUAAGAUAACAAAUCAUUGAUGAUGACCCAUCACAAGCACAAGCCUGUGCUGCUCCUAGUUGUAGGAUUUCGCUGCUGCACCUACAAGCUCAGCUUAUAAUUUCGGUGAAAAGACAAGAGCACAUGUGUCUUUUUUCAGCUUAUAAUAACGAAUCAUAUUUGACAUGGUUCUAGUCAUUUAGGGUUUUUCUUUUGAAGGGUCUCAUCAGCUUCCAUUAAUUGGCCCGGCAGACACAUACCAGCACUGCGUGUAUAAAGCGAGGGCAUGGUGAAUCUGCACAUCACAAAGCUAUACCACAGUACGAGUUGUACGACUACGGGUUGGAGAUAAACAGACCUAUACGAGAUGAUGACCCAUCACGAGCACAAACAGGAUGUGCUGCUCCAAGUUGUAGGAUCAUUGCUGCUGCUCGUACAAGCUCAUCAGCUCAU
rnacentral:lncRNA from 1 species